AACGAACGCUGGCGGCAGGCUUAGCACAUGCAAGUCGAGCGCGUGGCAACACGAGCAGCAGACGGGUGAGUAACACGUGGGAACGUACCCUUUUCUACGGAAUAACGCAGGGAAACUUGUGCUAAUACCGUAUACGCCCUUUUGGGGAAAGAUUUAUCGGAGAAGGAUCGGCCCGCGUUGGAUUAGCUAGUUGGUGGGGUAAAGGCCUACCAAGGCGACGAUCCAUAGCUGGUCUGAGAGGAUGAUCAGCCACAUUGGGACUGAGACACGGCCCAAACUCCUACGGGAGGCAGCAGUGGGGAAUAUUGGACAAUGGGCGCAAGCCUGAUCCAGCCAUGCCGCGUGAGUGAUGAAGGCCUUAGGGUUGUAAAGCUCUUUCACCGAUGAAGAUAAUGACGGUAGUCGGAGAAGAAGCCCCGGCUAACUUCGUGCCAGCAGCCGCAGUAAAAC
rnacentral:rRNA from 1 species